rnacentral:rRNA from 1 species
UACGGGGGGGGCAAGCGUUGUUCGGAAUUACUGGGCGUAAAGGGCUCGUAGGUGGCCAACUAAGUCAGACGUGAAAUCCCUCGGCUUAACCGGGGAACUGCGUCUGAUACUGGAUGGCUUGAGUUCGGGAGAGGGAUGCGGAAUUCCAGGUGUAGCGGUGAAAUGCGUAGAUAUUCGGAGGAACACCAGUGGCGAAGGCGGCUCACUGGUCCAUUACUGACGCUGAGGUGCGAAAGCGUGGGGAGCAAACAGG